rnacentral:lncRNA from 1 species
GGGUCUUCUCUUGUAGAUGUGCCGAAAAGAGGGAGAUCAACCAAGUCCUAGAUCCAGCACACCUCCAUGCCAUGGACCCUUGACGAACGAAGGUCGAGGAAGGCCACUGCGUCUGUGCUCGGCCACGAGAAGAUGACAUGGAGCUCGUCUUCCCGCUCAUCUGCUUGUCAAGGUCGCAUCUAUCUUCUCUGCUCCCACUCUGAAAACUGAACCCCUUUCUUCUCUGUACAUUUGAUAGGUUGCAAUUUUGUCAUUCAACUGGAUAGAUGGAUGUAUUCGUUUUGUCUUGCACUAUAUUCUUGCUCAAUUGUUGUUAGUGCUCAAUUUGUACUUGUAGCAGUGGCACAAGUACAAGAAGGGUUUCUGAUUUCUCACUUGUGCAAAGAAUAAGUUCAGUCAAUCUAAUAUGUGAUUAGGCAACCAGGUUUACUGUACUCAAGUUCAGUUUUUGUCAUGCUGCUGCACCAAGAUUUCCCCUUGACAAAUUUCUGUUGUAUCCUUGAUUGAUGCUGCACCAAGAUUUCCCCUUGACAAAUUUCUGUUGUAUCCUUGAUUGAAGCCGCACCGAGUAUUCUCACAUCUGCCCGAAGGUGUCCACCAACUUACAUAGGUGAAAACUGAACCUCUUUCUUUUGUACAUGUAUCUCCUAUUGGAAAUAAUCUUUCCUUAGUCUUAUCUACAUCCAGAUGUAUUAAUAGUGGAGUCUAUACGUGAGUGCUAGCUAGUUAGUUUCCUUUAGUAGUACUAGUUUUACGUGUACAUGCAAUAGGCUUAGGAUAGUUGCAAUCACCCCUAGGCCACACGGGGGGCGACCGUGCCCUCGUCCGCUCCCUCCCGCUACUGCCAAAGGUCCCGCCGGGCAAAGCCCGGGCGGUGACGACGGCAGCGGGGCCUUCUCCCUCGCGCAGCGAUGGCGUUCUCUCCUGGCGGUGGCGGCACAUUGCUCGGUGGCGAUUCGGCAACGUGGAGCGGCGGGAUCCUUCCCCCCACAAUGCUUUAGUUUGCUUAUUAAAUGGUUGCCUGUUUCAGGGGUAGUUUUUGUGUUCAUUGGUAGAUUGUAUGACAGUGCGUCUUGUUUUUAUCACUUCAGUCCAGUUUGUCUUCAACAAAUACCACUCUUAGUGUUCGGUAUGAGUACUCUUAGACCAAUUAGAACUUAUCAUCAUGGUUAGCGCUUGGCAUUUAGCAGCAUGUUCACCCGAAUUACUUAUCAUUAUGGCCGGUUAGAGAAGAUUUUAUGCCUGUUCACUUGGAUUCUUACAGAAGGCUCAGUUUAUACGUGUUCUUAUAUAGUUAUAUGUCACCCCAUAUUAGCUGAUGCAUGAUGGGUUUGGUUAACGUUUCCUUUGUAGAUGACAUAGAUGUUGCAUAUUGUUUCUUCUAAAUACACACUAAAUCUUCAGUUAUCUGCAUGGUAUGUACUCUUAGUCUACAUUGCAUUUGCCAAAGAGAGUGGUUUUUUGGCGCUAGGUAUGAUGCCGAGACAUUGAAUAUUUUCUGCAUGCGACGAUACUUUUAGUGGUCGACCAACAUGCAGGUUGUAUGUGAAUGAAGAUCUCCAGAGAUAAAUUUGUUUUUUGAUAGGUUCGGUGUGCUUGAGAUUUCUUUUGGUUCCCUGUCAAAUACUAUGGCUGCUGCCACAAGCCAUGUCCUGCCUAUUUCUCAAUUCUCAUACUGCUACCUCGCCUCUUCUCCUCUCCACCUUUACUCGGUGGAGAAUCAGUUGGGCAGAUCAAACCUCCUGCAUCCUAUUCCUGUUGCUGGAGACAAGAACUAUUACUCCAUCGCUCCUGGACAGCUGCUGGACGUGAUGCUAUCUUGCCGGAAGUAGUAGCAGACUCUCAAGCCAAUCCAUCGCAUGCAUGCAUCAAUUGAAUCCACCAUUGAUCAUCAGGGCACUGUCCCAUGCAUAUAUAAGUUGAUUUGGCAAGAAACAUACCAAUCUUAUUGAUAACCCGCAAGUAUACGGGAUAGUUAUAGCCUCUUUCGAUAAGUAAGAGUGUCAAACCCAACAAGGAGCUAAAGGUAGAACAAAUACUCUCUCAAGUCCUAUCGGCCACUGAUACGACUCUACGCACGCUUGACGUUCGCUUUACCUAGAACAAGUAUGAAACUAGAAGUACUUUGUAGGUGUGAUAGGAUAGGUUUGCAAGAUAAUAAAGAGCACGUAAAUAAAAACUAGGGGCUGUUUAGAUAAAGAUGCAAUAAAGUAAAUAUAGUGAGUGUGGAAUGGUGAUGGUAGGAGUUGUGAAAUUGUCCCUAAGCAAUUGACUAUGUUACUAGACAGGUAAUCACUAUUGCAAUUCUAUUUGAGGGAGAGACAUAAGCUAACAUACUUUCUCUACUUGGAUCAUAUGCACUUACAAUUGGAACUCUAGCAAGCAUCCGCAAAUACUAAAGUUUCAUUAAGGUAAAACCCAACCAUAGCAUUAAAGUAUCAAGUCCCCUUUAUCCCAUACGCAAACAACCUACUUACUCGGGUCUGUGCUUCUGUCACUAACGCCACCCACCAUAAGCAAAUCAUAAACAUAUUGCAAACCCUACAGCGGGAAUCCCUCACGCUUGCGCGACACAGAGGGCACAAUAGGACAACACCAAUAUUAAACAUGCAACUCAAACCAAUCAUAGCAAUUCAUCAAUCACCGAUAGGACAACGAAAAUCUACUCAGUCAUCAUAGGAUGGCAACACAUCAUUGGAAAAUAAUAUGAAGCAUAAAGCACCAUGUUCAAGUAGAGGGUACAACGGGUUGCGGGAGAGUGGACCGCUGGAUAUAGAUGGGGGAAGGUGAUGGAGAUGUUGGUGAAGAUGGCGGCGGUGUUGGUGAAGGUCGCGGUGAUGAUGAUGGCCUCCGGCAGCGCUCCGGCGCCACCGAAAGCAAGGGGGAGAGAGCCCACUUCUUCUUCUUCUUCUUCCUUGACCUCCUCCCUAGAUGGGAGAAGGGUUUCCCCUCUGGUCCUUGGCUCCCAUGGCGUGGGAGGGGCGAGAGCCCCUCCGAGAUUGGAUCUAUCUCUCUGUUUCUGCGUUCUCAGAUUCUACCCCUUCGUCGUUUCUUAAAUAUCCGGAGAUCCUUAACUCCGAUUGGGGUGAAUCUUUCGCCCAGAUCUUUCUCAUAAAAUUAGCUUUCUUGCGCCAAAAGAAGAGCGUCAACCGCCUUACGGGUGGCCCACGAGAGCCUAGGGAGCGCCUAGGGGGGUGGGCGCGCUCCCCUGUCUCGUGGCCACCCCGGACACUGUUUCACAUUGAUUUUACUUCCCAAAAAUCAUAAAUAUUCCAAAAAAAAUCUCCAUCCGUUUUUAUCCCGUUUGGAUUCCGUUUGAUAUCGGGUUUCUGCGAAACAAAAAAUAUGCAACAGAAAGGAACUGACACUAGGCACUAGAUCAAUAUGUUAGUCCCAAAGAUAGUAUAAAAAGUUGCCAAAAGUAUAUGAGAGUUGAAUAAUAUUGGCAUGGAACAAUCAAAAAUUAUAGAUACGACGGAGACAUAUCAACAUCCCCAAGCCUAAUUCCUGCUCGUCCUCGAGUAGGUAAAUGACAAAAAAGAUAAUUUUUGAUGUGGAAUGCUACCUAGCAUAAUCUUGAUCAUAUGUCUAAACAUGGCAUGAAUAUUAAGACACGAGUGAUUCAAAGCAAUAGUCUAUCAUUUGACAUAAAAAACAAUAAUACUUCGAGCGUACCAAUAAAGCAAUCAUGUCUUUUCAAAACAACAAGGCAAAGCAAGCUUAUCCCUACAAAAUCAUACAGUUUGGCCAUGCUUCAUUUUCAUCACACAAAAUGCUCCCAUCAUGCACAACCCCGAUGACAAGCCGAGCAAUUGGUUCAUACUUUUUAACGCGCUUCAACUUUUUCAACCCUCACGCAAUACAUGAGCGCAAGCCAUGGAUAUAGCACUAUAGGUGGAAUAGAAUAUGAUGGUGGAGGUUUAUAUAGAGAAGACAAAAAUGGGAGAAAGUCUCACAUCGACGCGGCUAAUCAACGGGCUAUGGAGAUGCCCAUCAAUUGAUGUCAAUGCGAGGAGUAGGGAUUGCCAUGCAACGGAUGCACUAAGAGCUAUAAGUGUAUGAAAGCUCAAACUGAAAACUAAGUUGGUGUGCAUCCAACUUGCUUGCUCAUGAAGACCUAGGGCAUUUGAGGAAGCCCAUCGUUGGAAUAUACAAGCCAAGUUCUAUAAUGAAAAUGCCCACUAGUAUAUGAAAGUGAUAAUAUAGGAGACUCACUAUAUGAAGAACAUGGUGCUACUUUGAAGCACAAGUGUGGAAAAAGGAUAGUAACAUUGCCCCUUUUUCUUUUUUUUCUUUUUUUUCUUUUUCUUUUUUUCUGUGGCCUUUCUUUUUUCUUUUUUGGCCUUUCUUUUUUUUCUUUUUGGGGACAAUGCUCUAAUAAUGAUGAUCAUCACACUUUUAUUUACUUACAACUCGAUAUUACAACUCGAUACUGGAACACAUAUAUGACUCUAUAUGAAUGCUUCCGGCGGUGUACCGGGAUGUGCAAUGAUCUAGCGUAGCAAUGACAUAAAAAACGGACAAGCCAUGAAAACAUCAUGCUAGCUAUCUUACGAUCAUGCAAAGCAAUAUGAUAAUGAAUGCUCAAGUCAUGAAUAUGAUGAUGAUGGAAGUUGCAUGGCAAUAUAUCUCGGAAUGGCUAUGGAAAUGCCAUGAUAGGUAGGUAUGGUGUCUGUUUUGAGGAAGAUAUAAUGAGGCUUAUGUGUGAUAGAGCGCGUCGUAUCACGGGGUUUGGAUGCACCGGCGAAGUUUGCACCAACUCUCGAGGCGAGAAAGGGCAAUGCACGGUACCGAAGAGGCUAGCAAUGAUGGAAAGGUAAAAGUGCGUAUAAUCCAUGGACUCACAUUAGUCAUAAAGAACUCAUAUACUUAUUGCAAAAGUUUAUUAGCCCUCGAAGCAAAGUACUACUACGCAUGCCCCUAGGGGGAUAUAUUGGUAGGAAAAGACCAUCGCUCGUCCCCGACCGCCACUCAUAAGGAAGACAAUCAAAGAAACACCCCAUGCUUCAAAUUUGUCACACAACGGUUACCAUACGUGCAUGCUACGGGACUUGCAAACCUCAACACAAGUGUCUCUACAAUCCACAACCACCCACUAGCAUGACUCUUAUAUCACCAUCUUUAUAUUGCAAAACUAUUGCAAGGAAUCAAACAUAUCAUAUUCAGCGAUCUACAAGUUUAUGUAGGAUUUUAUGACUAACCAUGUGAAUGACCAAUUACUGUCAUCUCUCUAAAUAGAUAUAAGUGAAGCAAGAGAGUUUAAUUCUUUCUACAAAAGAUAUGCCCACGCUCUAACAAGUAUAAGUGAAGCAAAAGAGCAUUCUACAAAUGGCGGUUUUCUAUGUGAAGAGAAACAUGCAAUCCAAACUUCAAAUGAUAUAAGUGAAGCACAUGAAGCAUUCUAUAAAGCCAUACUCAAAAGAUAUAAGUGAAGUGCAAUGAGAAUUCUAUAAAUAAACCAAGGACUAUCUCAUACCAGCAUGGUGCAUAAAACAAAAAUGAAAACUAAAUGCAAAAGACGCUCUAAGACUUGCACAUAAUGCAUGAACGAAAUGAAUACGAAAACAUACCCAUACUUGUUGAAGAAAGAGGGGAUGCCUUCCAGGGCAUCCCCAAGCUUAGACGCUUGAGUCUCCUUGAAUAUUUACUUGGGGUGCCUCAGGCAUCCCCAAGCUUGAUCUCUUGCCUCUCUUCCUUUUCCUCAUAUCGAGACAUCCUCGAUUAGACACUUCAUCCACACAAAACUUCAACAGAAAACUCGGUAAGAUCCGUUAGUAUAAUAAAGCAAAUCACCACUCUAAGUACUGUUGCAAACCAAUUCAUAUUUUGUUUUUGCAUUGUGUCUACUGUAAUAUAACUUUUCCAUGGCUUAAUCCACUAAUAUAAAUUUAUAGAUUCAUCAAAACAAGCAAACUAUGCAUCAAAAACAGAAUCUGUCAAAAAUAGAACAGUCUGUAGCAAUCUGAACAUCCACCAUACUUCUGGUACCCCAAAAAUUCUACCAAAAUUAGGAAACAUAAACAAGUUGUAUAGAAAGACAGUGCAAAAGGAAAUAGAACCAAUUGACAUUUCAGUUAAAAAUGUAAAAUCAUGCACUACAGCCAAAGUUUCUGUCCUGCACCGUACAAACCAACAAGCAUUGUAAACAUCCUAAAGGCAAACCUUUGCACAUUGUUUUUAUAAUACAAUGGAAUUAUACAAGGGGAUAAUUAUUUUUGAUGAAAAGUUUCUUUAAUCAAGAUUCACAAAGUUUCUGUGAGCAUGAACAAAGUUCAAGGAGCUCUCCCACUUCAACAAUGCUUGUCUCUCUCACUUUCACUUUCCUUUUUGAAAAGUUUUUAGGUUCCCCUCUUUAUUUUUUUGUUUUUAAACAAUAUGAAAGCACUCAAAAAAGAAAUGACUCUCUAAAACUUCCGAGUUGUCUCCCUGGCAACGCUUUCUUUAAAGCCAUUAAGCUAGGCAUUUAGUGCUCAAGUAAUGAAUCCACCCAGAUCCCAAGGUAUAUCAAAGCCAAUUUUAAUUAACAAUGAUUUGUAAUUUAGUAGUGAGCACAAAGUAACAUAUAUCAUGCAACAACGAAGUCUAACUCUCGUCCUAUGCAUCGGCAUGUCAUAAAAGAACAAUUCAUGCACACAUAGUAAAGGCCAAUGCAUAGUAUAAAGUUUCUUGCAAUUCUAUCAUAUUGGAAACAUAAAGAGGCAGAGAUAGAGUUACUCUCUCAUAAUAAUUGCAAGUAGGAGCAGCAAGCACAUGCAUAUUAUAUUCAUCAAAAUCAUCAUGUGCAAUGGUAAAAGGCAACCCAUCAAUAUAAUCCUUAAUAAGCAGAAACUUCUCCGAUAUAGUGUAGUUUGUAGAAUUCAAAAAGAUAAUAGGACUAUCAUACGUGGGUGCAAUAGCAACAAUCUCAUGUUUAACAUAAGGAACUAUAGCAAUUUCAUCUCCAUAAGCAUAAUUCAUAUUGGCAUCUGUUGGGGAACGUAGCAGAAAUUCAAAAUUUUCCUACGUGUCACCAAGAUCUAUCUAUGGAGAGACCAGCAACGAGUAGAAAGAGAGUGCAUCUACAUACCCUUGUAGAUCGUUAAGCGGAAGCGUUCAAGUGAACGGGGUUGAUGGAGUCGUACUCGUCGUGAUUCAAAUCACCGAUGAUCCUAGUGCCGAACGGACGGCACCUCCGCGUUCAACACACGUACAGCCCGGUGACGUCUCCCACGCCUUGAUCCAGCAAGGAGAGAGGGAGAGGUUGAGGAAGACUCCAUCCAACAGCAGCACAACGGCGUGGUGGUGGUGGAGGAGCGUGGCAAUCCAGCAGGGCUUCGCCAAGCACCAUGGGAGAGGAGGAGUAGGAAGAGAGGUAGGGCUGUGCCAGAACUUCGUGUAUAGCUCCCAUGCGCCUCCCCACUAUAUAUAGGGGUGGAGGGGCUGGUUUCUUUCCCUCCAAGUCCAUUGGGGCGUUGGCCAAGGUGGGAGGAAAGAAAUCUCAUUAUUUCCUUCCCCACCGAUUGUUAUCCCCCCCUUUUAGGGAUCUUGAUCUUAUCCCUUCGGGAUAUGAUCUUAUUCCUUCUAAGGGGGGAUCUUGGUGCGCCUUGACCAGGGGUGUGGGGCCUUGCCCCCACUACCCACGUCCAUGUGGGUCCCCCCAUGCAGGUGGGCCCCACUCCGGAACCUUCUAGAACCUUCCCGGUACAAUACCGAAAAAUCCCGAACAUUUUCCGGUGGCCAAAAUAGGACUUCCCAUAUAUAAAUCUUUACCUCCGGACCAUUCCGGAACUCCUCGUGACGUCCGGGAUCUCAUCCGGGACUCCGAACAACAUUCGGUAACCACAUACAAACUUCCUUUAUAACCCUAGCGUCAUCGAACCUUAAGUGUGUAGACCCUACGGGUUCGGGAGACAUGUAGACAUGACCGAGACGUUCUCCGGUCAAUAACCAAUAGCGGGAUCUGGAUACCCAUGUUGGCUCCCACAUGUUCCAUGAUGAUCUCAUCGGAUGAACCACGAUGUCAAGGACUCAGUCGAUCCCGUAUACAAUUCCCUUUGUCUAGCGGUAUGUUACUUGCCCGAGAUUCGAUCGUCGGUAUCCAAUACCUUGUUCAAUCUCGUUACCGGCAAGUCACUUUACUCGUUCCGUAACACAUCAUCCCGUGAUCAACUCCUUGGUCACAUUGCGCAUAUGAUGAUGUCCUACCAAGUGGGCCCAGAGAUACCUCUCCGUUUACACGGAGUGACAAAUCCCAGUCUCGAUCCGCAUAAAACAAUAGAUACUUUCGGAGAUACCUGUAGUGCACCUUUAUAAUCACCCAGUUACGUUGUGACGUUUGAUACACCCAAAGCACUCCUACGGUAUCCAGGAGUUACACGCUCUCAUGGUCAAAGGAAGAGAUACUUGACAUUGGCAAAGCUCUAGCAAACGAACUACACGAUCUUUGUGCUAGGCUUAGGAUUGGGUCUUGUCCAUCACAUCAUUCUCCUAAUGAUGUGAUCCCGUUAUCAACGACAUCCAAUGUCCAUAGCCAGGAAACCAUGACUAUCUGUUGAUCACAACGAGCUAGUCAACUAGAGGCUCACUAGGGACAUAUUGUGGUCUAUGUAUUCACACGUGUAUUACGAUUUCCGGAUAAUACAGUUAUAGCAUGAAUAAAAGACAAUUAUCAUGAACAAGGAAAUAUAAUAAUAAUACUUUUAUUAUUGCCUCUAGGGCAUAUUUCAAACAGUCUCCCACUUGCACUAGAGUCAAUAAUCUAGUUCACAUCGCCAUGUGAUUAACACUCACAGGUCACAUCGCCAUGUGACUAAUACCCAAGAGUUUACUAGAGUCAGUAGUCUAGUUCACAUCACUAUGUGAUUAACACUCAAUGAGUUUUAUGUUUGAUCAUGUUGCUUGUGAGAGAGGUUUUAGUCAACGGGUCUGAACCUUUCAGAUCCGUGUGUGCUUUACAAAUCUCUAUGUCAUCUCCUAGAUGCAGCUACCACGCUCUAUUUGGAGCUAUUCCAAACAACUGUUCUACUUGGAGCUAUUCUAAAUUAUUGCUCCAUUAUAUGUAUCCGGUCUCUCUACUCAGAGCUAUCCGGAUAGGUGUCAAGCUUGCAUCGUCGUAACCUUUACGACGAACUCUUUUACCACCUCCAUAAUCGAGAAAAUUCCUUAGUCCACUAGUUACUAAGGAUAACUUUGACCGCUGUCCUGUGAGCCAUUCUUGGAUCACUCUUGUAACCCUUGACUGACUCAUGGCAAGGCACACUUCAGGUGCGGUACACAGCAUAGCAUACUGAAGAGCCUACGUCUUAAGCAUAGGGGACGACCUUCGUCCUUUCUCUCUAUUCUGCCGUGGUCGAGCUUUAAGUCUUAACUUCGUACCUUACAACUCAGGCAAGAACUCCUUCUUUGACUGGUCCAUCUUGAACACCUUCAAGAUCAUGUCAAGGUAUGUGCUCAUUUGAAAGUAUUAUUAAGCAUUUUGAUCUAUCCUUAUAGAUCUUGAUGCUCAAUGUUCAAGUAGCUUAAUCCAGGCUUUCCAUUGAAAAACACUUUCAAAAUAACCCUAUAUGCUUUCCAGAAAUUCUACGUUAUUUCUGAUCAACAAUAUGUCAACAACAUAUACUCAUCAGAAAUUCUAUAGUGCUCCCACUCACUUCUUUGGAAAUACAAGUUUCUCAUAAACUUUGUACAAACCCAAAAUUUUUGAUCAUCAUCAAAGCAUACAUUCCAACUCCGAGAUGCUCACUCCAGUCCUUAGAAGGAUUGCUGGAGCUUUGCAUACUUAUUAGCAUCUUUCGGGAUUGACAAAACCUUCUGGUUGUAUCACAUACAACCUUUCCUCAUUAAAAUCGUCGAGGAAACAAUGUUUUGACAUCCUAUCUGCAAGAUUUCAUAAAUAAUGCAGUAAUCGCUAAUAUAAUUCCAACAGACUCUUAGCAUCGCUACGAGUGAGAAAAUCUCAUCGUAGUCAACUCCUUGAACUUGUCGGAAAACAUCUUAACGACAAGUCGAGCUUUCUUAAUGGUGACAUUUACCAUCAUUGUCCGUCUUCCUUUUGAAAUCCAUCUGUACUCAUUAGCCUUACGACCAUCGAGCCGUUCUGCCAAAGUCUACACUUUGUUUCCAUACAUGGAUCCUCUCUCGGAUUUUAUGGCCUCAAGCCAUUUAUCGGAAUCCGGGCCCACCAUCGCUUCUCCAUAGCUCGUAGGUUCAUUGUUGUCUAGCAACAUGACCUUCAAGACAGGAUUACGUACCACUCUGAAGUAGUACGCAUCCUUGUCAUCCUACGAGGUUUGGGAGUGACUUGAUCCGAAGUUUCAUGAUCAAUAUCAUAAGCUUCCACUUCAAUUGGUGUAGGUGCCACAGGAACAACUCCCUGUGCCCUGUCACACACUAGUUGAAGAGACGGUUCAAUAACCUCAUCAAGUCUCCACCAUCCUCCCACUCAAUUCUUUCGAGAGAAACUUUUCCUCGAGAAAGGACCUGAUUCUAGAAACAAUCCAUAUUGCUUUCGGAUCUGAAUUAGGAGGUAUACCCAACUGUUUUGGGUUUCCUAUGAAGAUGCAUUUUAUCCGCUUUGGGUUCGAGCUUAUCAACCUGAAACUUUUUCAUAUAAGCGUCGCAGCCCCAAACUUUUAAGAAACGACAACUUAGGUUUCUCUAAACCAUAAUUCAUACGGUGUCAUCUCAUCGGAAUUACGUGGUGCCCUAUUUAAAGUGAAUGUGGUUGUCUCUAAUGCCUAACCCAUGAACGAUAGUGGUAAUUCGAUAAGAGACAUCAUGGUACGCACCAUAUCCAAUAGGGUGCAACUAUGAUGUUCGGACACACCAUCACACUAUGGUGUUCCAGGCGGUAUUAAUUGCGAAACAAUUUCGACAAUGUCUUAAUUGUGUGCCAAAACUCGUAACUCAGAUAUUCAUCUCUAUGAUCAUAUCAUAGACAUUUUAUCCUCUUGUCACAAUGAUCUUCUACUUCACUCUGAAAUUACUUGAACCAUUCAAUAAUUCAGACUUGUGUUUCAUCAAGUAAAUAUUCUCAACAUCUACUCGAAUCAUCUGUGAAGUAAGAACAUAACGAUAUUCACUGCAUGCCUCAGCACUCAUUGGACUGCACACAUCAAAAUGUGUUACUUCCAACAAGUUGCUAUCUUGUUCCAUCUUACUGAAAACGAGGCUUUUCAGUCAUCUUGCCCAUGUGGUAUGAUUUGCAUAUCUCAAGUGAUUCAAAAUCAAGUGAGUCCAAACGAUCCAUCUGCAUGGAGUUUCUUCAUGCGUAUACACCAAUAGACAUGGUUCGCAUGUCUCAAACUUUGCAAAAACGAGUGAGUCCAAAGAUCCAUCAACAUGGAGCUUCUUCAUGCGUUUUAAACCAAUAUGACUUACAUGGCAGUGCCACCAGUAAGUGGUACUAUCAUUACUAUCUUUUGGCAUGAAAAUGUGUAUCACCACGAUCGAGAUUCAAUAAACCAUUUUUAGGUGCAAGACCACUGAAGGUAUUAUUCACAUAAUAGAGUAACCAUUAUUCUCCUUAAAUGAAUAACCGUAUUGCGAUAGACAUAAUCCAAUCAUGUCUAUGCUCAACGCAAACACCAAUCUCGGUGGUAGAGGGAGCGUGCGAUGCUUGAUCAUAUCAACCUUGGAAACACUUCCAACAUAUAUCGUCAGUUCACCUUUAGCUAGUCUCCGUUUAUUCCGUAGCUUUUAUUUCGAGUUACUAACACUUAGCAACCGAACCGGUAUCCAAUACCCUGGUGCUACUAGGAGUACUAGUAAAGUACACAUUAACAUAAUGUAUAUCCAAUAUACUUCUAUCGACCUUGCCAGCCUUCUCAUCUACCAAGUAUCUAGGGUAAUGCUGCUCCAGUGGUUGUUCCCCUUAUUACAGAAGCACUUAGUCUCGGGUUUGGGUUCAACCUUGGGUUUCUUCACUAGAGCAGCAGCUGAAUUGCCGUUUCAUGAAGUAUCCCUUUGUUCCCUUGCCCUUCUUGAAACUAGUGGUUUCACCAACCAUCAACAAUUGAUGCUCCUUCUUGAUUUCUACUUUCGCGGUGUCAAACAUCAUGAAUAUUUCAAGGAUCAUCAUAUCUAUCCCUGAUAUGUUAUAGUUAAUCACGAAGCUCUAGCAGCUUGGUGGCAAUGACUUUGGGGAAACAUCACUAUCUCAUCUGGAGGAUCAACUCCCACUCGAUUCAAGUGAUUGUUGUGCUCAGACAAUCUGAGCACAAGCUCAACGAUUGUGCUUUUCUCCCUUAGUUUGCAGGCUAAGAAAAUCGUCGGAGGUCUUAUACCUCUUGACGUGGGCACGAGCCUGAAAUCCCAAUUUCAGCCCUCGAAACAUCUCACAUGUUCCGCGACGUUUCGAAAACGUCUUUGGUGCCUCUACUUAAACCAUUUAAUUGAACUAUCACGUAGUUAUCAAAACGUGUAUGUCCGAUGUUCGCAACAUCGACAAACGACGUUGGGGUUCAGCACACUGAGCGGUGCAUUAAGGACAUAAGCUUUCUACUGAUCGCAUAAUCGCUACUAUCAACUUUCAACUAUAUUUUCUCUAGGAACAUAUCUAAACAGUGGAACUAAAGCGCGAGCUUACGACAUAAUUUGCAAAAGGUCUUUUGACUAUGUUCAGGAUAAUUAAGUUCAUCUUAUGAACUCCCACUUAGAUAGACAUCCCUCUGGUCAUCUAAGUGAUCACAUGAUCCGAGUCAACUAGGCCGUGUCCGAUCAUCACGUGAGACAGACUAGUCAUCAUCGGUGAACAUCUUCAUGUUGAUCGUAUCUACCAUACGACUCAUGCUCGACCUUUCGGUCUCCGUGUUCCGAGGCCAUGUCUGCACAUGCUAGGCUCAUCAAGUUAACCCUAAGUGUUUUCACUGUGUAAAACUGUCUUUCACCCGUUGUAUGUGAACGUAAGAAUCCAUCACACCCGAUCAUCACGUGGUGCUUAGAAGCGACGAACUGUAGCAACGGUUCACAGUUAGGGGAGAACACUUCUUGAAAUUUUGUAAGGGAUCAUCUUAUUUACUACCGUCGUCCUAAGCAAACAAGAUGCAUAAACAUGAUAAACAUCACAUGCAAUCAAAUAGUGACAUGAUAUGGCCAAUAUCAUUUUGCUCCUUUUGAUCUUCAUCUUCGGGGCUCCAUGAUCAUCAUCGUCACCGGCACGACACCAUGAUCUCCAUCAUCAUGAUCUCCAUCAUCGUGUCUUCAUGAAGUUGUCACGCCAACGACUACUUCUACUUCUAUGACUAACGCGUUUAGCAAUAAAGUAAAGUAGUUUACAUGGCGUUCUUCAAUGACACGCAGGUCAUACAAUAAAUAAAGACAACUCCUAUGGCUCCUGCCGGUUGUCAUACUCAUCGACAUGCAAGUCGUGAAUCCUGUUACAAGAACAUGAUCAAUCUCAUACAUCACAUAUCAUUCAUCACAUUCUUCUUGGCCAUAUCACAUCACAUAGCAUACCCUGCAAAAACAAGUUAGACGUCCUCUAAUUGUUGUUGCAUGUUUUACGUGGCUGCUAUGGGUUUCUAGCAAGAACGUUUCUUACCUACGCAAGACCACAACGUGAUAUGCCAAUUGCUAUUUACCCUUCAUAAGGACCCUUUUCAUCGAAUCCGUUCCGACUAAAGUGGGAGAGACGGGCACCCGCUAGCCACCUUAUGCACCAAGUGCAUGUCAAUCGGUGGAACCUGUCUCACGUAAGAGUACGUGUAAGGUCGGUCCGGGCCGCUUCAUCCCACAAUACCGUCGAAACAAGAUUGGACUAGUAAUGGUAAGCAUAUUGAACAACAUCAACUCCCACAACUACUUUGUGUUCUACUCGUGCAAAGAAUCUACGCAAUAGACCUAGCUCAUGAUGCCACUGUUGGGGAACAUAGAAGAAAUUCAAAAUUUUCCUACGUGUCACCAAGAUCUAUCUAUGGAGAGACCAGCAACGAGUAGAAAGAGAGUGCAUCUACAUACCCUUGUAGAUCGCUAAGCGGAAGCGUUCAAGUGAACGGGGUUGAUGGAGUCGUACUAGUCGUGAUUCAAAUCACCGAUGAUCCUAGUGCCGAACGGACGGCACCUCCGCGUUCAACACACGUACAGCCCGGUGACGUCUCCCACGCCUUGAUCCAGCAAGGAGAGAGGGAGAGGUUGAGGAAGACUCCAUCCAACAGCAGCACAACGGCGUGGUGGUUGUGGAGGAGCGUGGCAAUCCAGCAGGGCUUCGCCAAGCACCAUGGGAGAGGAGGAGUAGGAAGAGAGGUAGGGCUGUGCCAGAACUUCGUGUAUAGCUCCCAUGCGCCUCCCCACUAUAUAUAGGGGUGGAGGGGCUGGUUCCUUGCCCUCCAAGUCCAUUGGGGCGUUGGCCAAGGUGGGAGGAAAGAAAUCUCAUUAUUUCCUUCCCCACCGAUUGUUAUCCCCCCUUUUUAGGGAUCUUGAUCUUAUCCCUUCGGGAUAUGAUCUUAUUCCUUAUAAGGGGGGAUCUUGGUGCGCCUUGACCAGGGGUGUGGGGCCUUGCCCCCACUACCCACGUCCAUGUGGGUCCCCCCAUGCAGGUGGGCCCCACUCCGGAACCUUCUAGAACCUUCCCGGUACAAUACCGAAAAAUCCCGAACAUUUUCCGGUGGCCAAAAUAGGACUUCCCAUAUAUAAAUCUUUACCUCCGAACCAUUCCGGAACUCCUCGUGACGUCCGAGAUCUCAUCCGGGACUCCUAACAACAUUCGGUAACCACAUACAAACUUCCUUUAUAACCCUAGCGUCAUCGAACCUUAAGUGUGUAGACCCUACGGGUUCGGGAGACAUGUAGACAUGACCGAGACGUUCUCCAGUCAAUAACCAACAGCGGGAUCUGGAUACCCAUGAUGGCUCCCACAUGUUCCACGAUGAUCUCAUCGGAUGAACCACGAAAUCAAGGACUUAAUCAAUCCCGUAUUCAAUUCCCUUUGUCUAUCGGUAUGUUACUUGCCCGAGAUUCGAUCGUCGGUAUCCAAUACCUUGUUCAAUCUCGUUACCGGCAAGUCACUUUACUCGUUCCGUAACACAUCAUCCCGUGAUCAACUCCUUGGUCACAUUGCGCAUAUGAUGAUGUCCUACCGAGUGGGCCCAGAGACACCUCUCCGUUUACACGGAGUGACAAAUCCCAGUCUCGAUCCGCAUAAAACAAUAGAUACUUUCGGAGAUACCUGUAGUGCACCUUUAUAGUCACCCAGUUACGUUGUGACGUUUGAUACACCCAAAGCACUCCUACGGUAUCCAGGAGUUACACGCUCUCAUGGUCGAAGGAAGAGAUACUUGACAUUGGCAAAGCUCUAGCAAAUGAACUACACGAUCUUUUGUGCUAGUCUUAGGAUUGGGUCUUGUCCAUCACAUCAUUCUCCUAAUGAUGUGACCCCGUUAUCAACGACAUCCAAUGUCCAUAGCCAGGAAACCAUGACUAUCUGUUGAUCACAACGAGCUAGUCAACUAGAGGCUCACUAGGGACAUAUUGUGGUCUAUGUAUUCACACGUGUAUUACGAUUUCCGGAUAAUACAAUUAUAGCAUGAAUAAAAGACAAUUAUCAUGAACAUGGAAAUAUAAUAAUAAUACUUUUAUUAUUGCCUCUAGGGCAUAUUUCCAACAACAUCUUGGCCACAAGCAUAGCAAGCAUCAUCAAAAAGGGAUAUUUCAAACAAAUUCAAGGGAUCAUAGCAAUCAUCCUUCGGUAAACAUGAAGGGGAAUUAAAUAAUCUAUGAGUUGGAGGGUUACUCUCAUUAGAAGGUGGGCACGGGUAGCUAAUCUGCUCUUCCUCCUUUUGUUCUUUGCUCUCCCCAUCAUCUUUUUCAUCCAAUGAGCUCAUAGUUUCAUCAAUUUCUUCUUCGAUAGCUUCCUGCAAAAUAUUAGUCUCUUCUUGGACAACGGAGACUUUCUCAAUAAAUGCAUUAAUAUAGUAAUUGUAUUCAUAAUUUUCAUAGCAAUAUCUAAGUAUAACAAGAUUUUCAGGCCUAUAAGCAUCAUCAUCUAAAGCUUCAUACUUUUCAAACAAAGAUUCAAUUUCAUAAGAACCUUAAAAGCAACAAAUUCUUCUAUUUGUUCCACAUCAUAGUAAUCAUAUAUACCAUUAGCAUAAGAAGCUAAGGUUUCAUUAUCAUUAAAUUUGCAUGAAAAGGGAAGGUGUGGAGCCUCCAUCUUAGAGCAACAAGUAAUAUCAUAUCUCAAGCAUAGAUUCCAGGCAUACCAAUGCAACAUAAUAAAUUGAUCCCAUAAUAGUUUCCCUUUUUGUGUCGAGCGAUAAUCCCUAAAGUAUUCACGUUGAUCCAACGUGUCUCCCAUUAUAAAGUUGAAUGGGGUUUUCUCAAGAUUAUCAAAGUAGUACAUAAUAUCUUUCGCAUAAUGAGAACCGAGGGUUUUAGGAGUUACCCCAUCUCCAUGAGUAGCAAGUACACCUAAUUUUAUUGGUAUUUUGCGUUCCAUAUCCAUAACUAAAGAUAGAAAACAACUAAGAACAACAAAUAAAAAUUACUUAGUGAUAAAGCAAACAAGCACACACGAGAAUAUUCACCCCACGCUAUGACUCCUCGGCAACAGCGCCAGAAAAAGGUCUUGAUAACCCGCAAGUAUACAGGAUAGUUGUAGCCUCUUUUGAUAAGUAAGAGUGUCGUACCCAACGAGGAGCUAAAGGUAGAACAAAUACUCUCUCAAGUCCUAUCGGCCACUGAUACGACUCUACGCACGCUUGACGUUCGCUUUACCUAGAACAAGUAUGAAACUAGAAGUACUUUGUAGGUGUGAUAGGAUAGGUUUGCAAGAUAAUAAAGAGCACGUAAAUAAAAACUAGGGGCUGUUUAGAUAAAGAUGCAAAAAAGUAAAUAUAGCGAGUGUGGAAAGGUGGUGGUAGGAGUUGUGAACUUGUCCCAAGCAAUUGACUAUGUUACUAGACCGGUAAUCACUUUUACAAUUCUAUUUGAGGGAGAGGCAUAAGCUAACAUACUUUCUCUACUUGGAUCAUAUGCACUUAUGAUUGGAACUCUAGCAAGCAUACGCAAAUACUAAAGAUUCAUUAAGGUAAAACCCAACCAUAGCAUUAAAGUAUCAAGUCCCCUUUAUCCCAUACGCAAACAACCUACUUACUCGGGUCUGUGCUUCUGUCACUCACGCCACCCACCAUAAGCAAAUCAUAAACAUAUUGCAAACCCUACAGCGGGAAUCCCUCACGCUUGCGCGACACAGAGGGCACAAUAGGAUAGCACCAAUAAUAAACAUGCAACUCAAACCAAUCAUAGCAAUUCAUCAAUCACCGAUAGGACAACGAAAAUCUACUCAUACAUCAUAGGAUGGCAACACAUCAUUGGAAAAUAAUAUGAAGCAUAAAGCACCAUGUUCAAGUAGAGGGUAUAGCGGGUUGCGGGAGAGUGGACCGCUGGAUAUAGAUGGGGGAAGGUGAUGGAGAUGUUGGUGAAGAUGGCGGCGGUGUUGAUGAAGAUCGCGGUGAUGAUGAUGGCCUCCGGCAGCGCUCCGGCGCCACCAGAAGCAAGGGGGAGAGAGCCCCCCUUCUUCUUCUUCUUCCUUGACCUCCUCCCUAGAUGGGAGAAGGGUUUCCCCUCUGGUCCUUGGCUCCCAUGGCGUGGGAGGGGCGAGAGCCCCUCCGAGAUUGGAUCUAUCUCUCUGUUUUUGUGUUCUCAGAUUCUACCCCUUCACCAUUUCUUAAAUAUCCAGAGAUCCUUAACUCCGAUUGGGGUGAAUCUUUCGCCCAGAUCUUUCUCAUAAAAUUAGCUUUCUUGCGCCAAAAGAAGAGCGUCAACCGCCUUACGGGUGGCCCACGAGAGCCCAGGGCACGCCCAGGGGGAGGGCGCGCCCCCUGUCUCGUGGCCACCCGGACACCGUUUCGCGUUGAUUUUACUUCCCAAAAAUCAUAAAUAUUCCAAAAAAAUCUCCAUCCAUUUUAUCACAUUUGGAUUCCGUUUGAUAUUGGGUUUCUGCGAAACAAAAAAUAUGCAACAGACAGGAAGUGGCAGUGGGCACUGGAUCAAUAUGUUAGUCCCAAAGAUAGUAUAAAAAGUUGCCAAAAGUAUAUGAAAGUUGAAUAAUAUUGGCAUGGAACAAUAAAAAAUUAUAGAUACGACGAAGACGUAUCACUUAUAUUCGGCAAACUUCUGCAUGGAACUUAUAUUUGUGUUUAUUGCCUUUUUUAGUGUGUUGAUAUUUGAAAGGGGAACAGGGCAACGUGUUGCACUCUUGCUUUUGUUAGAGCACUAUAUUUUAUUGUUAACCAUGCUAUGGUCCAAACUCCUUUUUAUUCUGCUCAUAUGAUAUUUCUCAUCUUUUGUUUUUUGUCCGAUGCCUCCUGUAUUUAGAGUAGAAAUAUUCUUAAUUUAGUGGUUCUUGAACAUGGCCAGAGCAAUGGAUAAAAUCUACUCUGGAUAGUUGACAGAGGGAGUACAUGCUAAGUUGACUUUUUUCCUGCGGAUUUGCUUAUCGUGAAGAUGCUUGCAAGGAUGCAGAGGGAGCGGAUCAUUUGGAGAGAUAGGAUGCCACUGUUUGGUGUUUUUAUGCAUUUUGGUUUGCUUGUAACUGUGUUUGCACUAGCUGGGAGUAAGUGACUUCAAGAAGUGUAGGUGUUUUAAUUGAAGGCAUGAAAAGCCAUGACAAUAUGUAUGCUCUUACAUGACGUGCUCUAAUGCCACUGGUUUAUUAUAAAUCUUGGAUUAGUAAUGAUGUGUAAUGUUGUUGGUUUAUUGCAAAUAUGUGUUUGUUUUAGUUGGAAUUGUAUGCAUAGAAUGGAAUUGCUGGAUUUUAUUUUUUAAUUCCUAAUUAGUUAGUAGUAGCGUG